rnacentral:rRNA from 1 species
UACGUAGGGUGCGAGCGUUAAUCGGAAUUACUGGGCGUAAAGCGUGCGCAGGCGGUUCGUUGUGUCGGCGGUGAAAGCCCCGGGCUUAACCUGGGAAUGGCCGUUGAAACUGGCGAACUGGAGUGUGGCAGAGGGGGGGUGGAAUUCCGCGUGUAGCAGUGAAAUGCGCAGAUAUCGGGAGGAACACCGGUGGCGAAGGCGGUUCUCUGGGCCUGUACUGGACGCUGAGGAGCGAAAGCGUGGGGGAGCGAACAGGG